rnacentral:lncRNA from 1 species
UUAUUUCCUGUACAUUAUGCAUGUAUGACACUUGAAUUUACAAGCAAUACCACUUCAUUCAAAUUUUCAAAAUUUAGUUUUGAAGAUUCAUGCACAUACACAUAUAAGAUAACUUUUCCUUAUUCAACUUAAGUUAACCUAGCCUGGAAUCAUGACAUGGAAUGCCACUUCUGUCAUGACAUGGAAUGCCACUUCUGUCAAGUUCCUUCAUUCCAUUACUGUCACAUUUUUAUUCUUAACGCCUCCUGUAAUGAAUACAACAUUUCAAACUCCUCUCGUCAAAUUAUAUUUCUGUUAAAUAUAGAUCUAAUUUUGUUUUUAACAAAUAUUGUUUAUUUUACUUAUUUUCAAUAGUUUAGGAUGCUUCUUUUCAACUGCCUUGGAUGCACUUUCAGGAUUACCUAAAAAUU